UCUUUUUCUCCAUAGCAGGAACCUUACUGGAACACUACCCCACUUAAAAAGAAUGAGGGUAGAACUCUUGAAUCUUGGGGAUUUGAACUCCUUGAAGUACCUCAUAACAAGGGUGUUACGGGGCCUUCUUCUGAUGUUGCUGCUUGAGCAGCCUGCGGAGAAAUGACUGACACAGGGUUGAUUCUGGGAGAACCUUCUUCUUAUCUUCUCUUCACUAUCAUCUUUUCACUGACCCUUUAUUUCUCUUUGCUCUUCCCACUGGAGGAUUCUAUCAAAGAGUAUUACCAUCAUACAGACGAGGAAACCGAAGACUAUGAACCAUGUACAACAGUCUUCAACCCAAGAAUCACGAAGCAUUGUGAUCUUAGGAGCAAGGGAGUGGAAAAUGGAGUUGCUUGCUAUUUGGCAGGGGGAUUUUAUCUGGUGUGUUUUUGCUAUGGAUGGGAACUGAGGGAGCUGGUG
rnacentral:misc_RNA from 1 species